AUGUCAGACCAGAGUGACAGCCAGAACCCCUCAGAGCAGCAAGUUGUGAUGAGUGAGGGCACUAGCCCCUCAAGUUCUUCUGAUGAUGGUAAUAGGAGCACCCCCAGCAAUCUGCCUAAGGCUGCCACACGUCAAAGGAAGAAGAGAACGUCUGAUUCUGAAGAUGAGGACUAUGUGGCAGAGGAAGAGGCCACCUCCAAGAGAGUUGAGCCAGAUCAAGGCUCAAAGCCAGGCCUGAAAAUCAAGAGGCCAGCAGGCAGGCAACCCAUGUCAAAGGCUAGAGCUUCAACUGAGAAGCCUGCACCUGCUCCCAUUGAGCCCAUUGCUGCUGAGAGCAAGAAAAGGAAAGAGAGGGUGAAGAAGACUGUAGCCAAAGUGCUUGGGAGAGCCUCCAUCAUGGUAGAAGAGGAGGAGGAAGAAGAGGCAGCUGCACCAGCGCCCAAGGCACCCAAACUUAUGGGAGAUGCCAUAAGGUCAGGGGGAGCUGCAUCCAAGCCCAAGGAAGCACCUAAGGCUGCAUCUAAGCCAAAGCCCAAGAGGAACACACGGAGCAUUCCUGCAGCUGAGAAGAACAAGGCCCCAGUGCCUGAGACUGUUGCUGAGGAUGAGGAAGAGAAUGUCCUUCGGAAGCUCAAGCCCAAGAUCCCAGACCACAACGAUGCUCAUCCUGUGGCUGAGGAUAUGAAGCUCAGGAGAGACUCGGGGCUCAGGAAAUGGAGAGAAGCAGAUCCAUAUGCUUCUAGGAGAAGGACUACCGUGGAUUACAGAUUUCACACCAAGGAGCAACAAGAUUUCUAUGAGACUGUUUUGCUUGACAAGAAGCCAAUCGUUUGUGACAUGAGAUGGGUUGACUGGACAUAUAUCAAGGAGAAUGAGGAGCACUAUCCUGGAGUAUUUGACAGCUUUAGUGCUUGUGGAGUAGCUGACUUUGUUGGGCAGAAGCUCACAAAGUGGAAUGAGGAACUUAUCAUGCAGUUCUACUCCACGACACACUUUUAUCCAGAUGGGAGGAUUACAUGGAUGUUAGAGGGUACAAGGUACCAAUCUACAGUGGCUGAGUGGGCACAGAUCAUCAAUGCCCCAGAAGAGCAAGAUGAGGACUUGGAUAUCUAUGCCAAGAAGAAGAUGGACCAUAACUCCAUGUCAAAUAUGUACAAGGAAAUUCCCAAUGAAGCUCUUGACACAUUCAAGUUUGGCUCAGUGCAUUAUCUGCUCUCAGGAUUGCCUACGAUCAACUGGAUCCUUAGGCACACCCUUCUGCCCAAAUCUGGAGAUCACAAGAUGAUCAGAGGUCACGCGAUCAAUUUUCUUCAUGUUUUUGACGUGCCUCAAAAAUUCAAAGUUAUGAGCCUUAUAGUGGAAACGAUCAAAAGAACUGCGGCAGAUCAGAAGAGGAGCUGUGGAUAUGCCCCUCAGAUUCAAGAGCUCAUCAACUCCAAGAUGGGCACGGGCGUAUAUUUGUUGGAUAAGGAACACCUGCCCAUCCGUCUAGAUUUUGAGGACAAUGAAGUUGUUAUGACUGAGAACGAGCCAUCGUCUGCACAAGCAUUUGCAAAUAAGGAGAAGGCGAAGAAGGAAAAAGCUGCCAGGAUGCCUACUCAAGAGGAGGCAUCUGACUAUUUCUUGAAGACCAAGCAAGAGCAGCUCUGUUACUUGAUUGCAUCCACGCUGAGAAUUGAGCAAAGUUUGGCAAACCUCACUAAAAAUCAGCAGAGAAAAGAGAGGAUCAUGGAACAGAAGUUCUAUGACUUGGAUGUCAAGGUAAUAGAAGUACAGUCUGCAGUGGAGCAGCUCCAGGAGGACAUGAAUGAGAGGAGAGGCAGGACCACGACUCAAGCAUUUUCUAGAGUGCCACGAGGUCCGAGGUCGUCUGCACUGCCAGUUGCUGACACCAGAGCCACUACUUCAGCACCAGCUACGGCCUCAGCUCCAGCGUCUACCUCAGCUCAAACUCCAGCGACUACUUCAACAUCUACAGAAGCCUUCGCCCUUGGAGUGAUCCGGACUCCACCACCACCUGAAGAUCAAGCCUGA
rnacentral:rRNA from 1 species